rnacentral:rRNA from 1 species
CCCUUAGAUGUUCUGGGCCGCACGCGCGCUACAAUGAUGAAUUCAACGAGUUUAUAACCUUGGUUGAAAAGCCUGGGUAAUCUUUUGAACUUUCGUCGUGAUGGGGCUAGACCCUUGCAAUUAUUGGUCUCCAACGAGGAAUUCCUAGUAAACGCAAGUCAUCAGCUUGCAUUGAUUACGUCCCUGCCCUUUGCACACACCGCCCGUCGCACCUACCGAUUGAAUGGUCCGGUGAAAUCUUCGGAUUGAGACUUUGUUUUCUUCACGGAAAACGCUGUUUUAAAAAGUUGAUUAAACCUUACCAUUUAGAGGAAGGUGAAGUCGUAACA